rnacentral:lncRNA from 1 species
CUUCAACUGAGAUGGAUACGUUGGAUAAAUGUAGAGAUUAUUUAAAUCCAAUUAAAAAGAUAUGGAGGAUAAAAUAAAUCAAAUUGAAGUGCAGACUGAAACGAACGACAGCCACGUGUGAGGUGGGUUUAAUCGAUCGAGAGGAAGGGUCAGAUCACGUGCAGCGAUAGCGAUGACGAAAAACGAGCAAAUACCCUCGGUGAAUCAAACUUUCAUUGAUCUACUGGCAGCAAACGCUAGUUCUCCUGCGCAACAUCGACUCUUUCAGGUCUUUUCACUUUCCAAUAUAACUCCAGCGACUUUAUUUUGGACAAAUCUCGGACGUAUGAGGGUUAAUCAUGAUGGUCGUGACAUAAGGACAGAUGAAAAUAUGAAACGAGCUAUAGGAAGGGAUUGGACUCGCGGAUAAUGGAAUUAAUUGUAUCAAAGUGUCUUGUAUUACUUGCUUAACAGUUUAAUGAAAUUAGGAUUGAAUAAUGAUUAGAAAACAAUUUUUGUAUAUUCUGCAAGCCUUGGGAACGUAGUUUGCAUUUUAAUUCUACUCCUUUGGCCUAUCAGCUGGAAUAAUAAAU